rnacentral:rRNA from 1 species
GAGUUUGAUCCUGGCUCAGAUUGAACGCUGGCGGCAGGCCUAACACAUGCAAGUCGAACGGUAACAGAAAGCAGCUUGCUGCUUUGCUGACGAGUGGCGGACGGGUGAGUAAUGUCUGGGAAACUGCCUGAUGGAGGGGGAUAACUACUGGAAACGGUAGCUAAUACCGCAUAACGUCGCAAGACCAAAGAGGGGGACCUUCGGGCCUCUUGCCAUCGGAUGUGCCCAGAUGGGAUUAGCUUGUUGGUGGGGUAACGGCUCACCAAGGCGACGAUCUCUAGCUGGUCUGAGAGGAUGACCAGCCACACUGGAACUGAGACACGGUCCAGACUCCUACGGGAGGCAGCAGUGGGGAAUAUUGCACAAUGGGCGCAAGCCUGAUGCAGCCAUGCCGCGUGUAUGAAGAAGGCCUUCGGGUUGUAAAGUACUUUCAGCGGGGAGGAAGGGAGUAAAGUUAAUACCUUUGCUCAUUGACGUUACCCGCAGAAGAAGCACCGGCUAACUCCGU